rnacentral:rRNA from 5 species
GAGUUUGAUCAUGGCUCAGAUUGAACGCUGGCGGCAUGCCUUACACAUGCAAGUCGAACGGCAGCACGGGAGCUUGCUCCUGGUGGCGAGUGGCGAACGGGUGAGUAAUGCAUCGGAACGUAUCCUGGAGUGGGGGAUAACGUAGCGAAAGUUACGCUAAUACCGCAUAUUCUGUGAGCAGGAAAGCGGGGGACCUUCGGGCCUCGCGCUCUUGGAGCGGCCGAUGUCGGAUUAGCUAGUUGGUGAGGUAAAGGCUCACCAAGGCGACGAUCCGUAGCAGGUCUGAGAGGAUGAUCUGCCACACUGGAACUGAGACACGGUCCAGACUCCUACGGGAGGCAGCAGUGGGGAAUUUUGGACAAUGGGGGCAACCCUGAUCCAGCCAUGCCGCGUGAGUGAAGAAGGCCUC